UACGUAGGUGGCAAGCGUUGUCCGGAUUUAUUGGGUUUAAAGGGUGCGUAGGCGGCCCUGUAAGUCAGUGCUGAAAUAUCCCGGCUUAACCGGGAGGGUGGCAUUGAUACUGCAGGGCUUGAGUACAGAUGAGGUAGGCGGAAUUGACGGUGUAGCGGUGAAAUGCAUAGAUAUCGUCAAGAACACCGAUAGCGAAGGCAGCUUACUGGGCUGUAACUGACGCUGAUGCACGAAAGUGUGGGGAUCAAACAGG
rnacentral:rRNA from 1 species